UAUGGCCUACGGGACGCAGCAGUGGGGAAUAUUGCACAAUGGGGGGAAACCCUGAUGCAGCGCCGCUGCGUGAAGGAAGAAGUAUUUCGGUAUGUAAACUUCUAUCAGCAGGGAAGAAAAUGACGGUACCUGACUAAGAAGCCCCGGCUAACUACGUGCCAGCAGCCGCGGUAAUACGUAGGGGGCAAGCGUUAUCCGGAUUUACUGGGUGUAAAGGGAGCGUAGGCGGUGAUGCAAGUCAGAAGUGAAAGCCCGCAGCUCAACUGCGGGACUGCUUUUGAAACUGUAUGACUAGAUUGCAGGAG
rnacentral:rRNA from 1 species